UACGAAGGGGGGCUAGCGUUGCUCGGAAUUACUGGGCGUAAAGCGCGCGCAGGCGGCUAUCCAAGUCAGUGGUGAAAGCCCGGAGCUCAACUCCGGAACUGCCAUUGAAACUGUUUAGCUUGAGGACGAGAGAGGUGAGUGGAACUCCGAGUGUAGAGGUGAAAUUCGUAGAUAUUCGGAAGAACACCAGUGGCGAAGGCGACUCACUGGCCCGAUACUGACGCUGAGGCGCGAAAGCGUGGGGAGCAAACAGG
rnacentral:rRNA from 1 species